rnacentral:lncRNA from 1 species
UCUUCAACACUUUACAUCAAUGAUAAGUUAUUUCUUAUUGAGCCAUAUGUUUGGAUCCCUUGACUUACUUGAUAGUGGAUUCUAAGUCAAACAUUUGAGUUAGCACUCUCCUUUGACUUUUCUUCAUUCUCUUCUCUUCUUUUGCUUUGACAAUUGUGUUACAUGUUAUAGGAUAUUAACUUUGUUAAUUCUCUAACAUGUUUGACACAUAAAAAAUUGUUAUUGAUCGGCCUCAGAUAGGUAUGUCUUCUACAUAAUCCUACUUACGAUUGCUUAACAUAAC